rnacentral:sRNA from 1 species
GGCGUCAGCUUGCGGUCCUAACCUCGGCGUUGUUGGCAGGUUCCUGGCGGAACGGAUCUUCCGAAAGCACCAUGGCCUGCAAGCUGACGAGGACGGACAGGAUGGUUGAUAUAUCAGGUUGCCACUGUGCAGCCUGGUCACCCUUUCUCCAGGUACCCAGGAGUGAAAGGCAGACUAAAAUAUAAAUAUUUAUCAUGUUUGUGGGAGAACAGAAAUCGGUUUCAUUAAGAGGGAAGUUUUUUUUUUUUUUCUUCUUUCAACGGAACCCUUAAUAUUCUGCAAGCCCUUGUUGCUUGAUUAACGCAGCCGAUAUCGAUGCUGAUGUUGAUGAUACAGGACAGAUAGGUGAACUUGUACGGCCAAGUCGGAAACCUGUUGAUGUUCUUCUAGGAUAGUCAAAACUGAUUACACUGUAUAGCUAACUAAUCCAGUCAUGAGGGCGAAGAAUGCAAUGCAGAUAAAGCAAAAAGCGUAAAUGAGUGUCGAAGGAAAGAAUUUGGAAUGGAAAUGGAAAUGGAAAUGACUCAAUUUAUAUCCCCCAUUCGUUUCCCCUUCAUUCCUCAUCAUCUGCUUCACCCAACAACAUCGAUGAACCCAUAGCGUAAAUUAACUGCAUCUGCAACACUUAACUCGGGCAACUCACCAAAAGCGCUGUGGACAUGAUCAUAUAGGCACAUGCGGC